UACGUAGGGAGCAAGCGUUGUCCGGAAUCAUUGGGCGUAAAGAGCGCGUAGGCGGUCCGGUAAGUCGGUUGUGAGAACUGGGGGCUCAACCCUCAGAGGCCGACCGAUACUGCCGGGCUAGAGUCCGGAAGAGGCGAGUGGAAUUCCUGGUGUAGCGGUGAAAUGCGCAGAUAUCAGGAGGAACACCAAUGGCGAAGGCAGCUCGCUGGGACGGUACUGACGCUGAGGCGCGAAAGCGUGGGGAGCAAACAGG
rnacentral:rRNA from 1 species